CCUACGGGUGGCAGCAGUGAGGAAUAUUGGUCAAUGGACGAGAGUCUGAACCAGCCAAGUAGCGUGAAGGAUGACUGCCCUAUGGGUUGUAAACUUCUUUUAUAUGGGAAUAAAAUGUUCCACGUGUGGGAUUUUGUAUGUACCCUAUGAAUAAGGAUCGGCUAACUCCGUGCCAGCAGCCGCGGUACUACGGAGGAUCCGAGCGUUAUCCGGAUUUAUUGGGUUUAAAGGGAGCGUAGGUGGAUUGUUAAGUCAGUUGUGAAAGUUUGCGGCUCAACCGUAAAAUUGCAGUUGAAACUGGCAGUCUUGAGUACAGUAGAGGUGGGCGGAAUUCGUGGUGUAGCGGUGAAAUGCUUAGAUAUCACGAAGAACUCCGAUUGCGAAGGCAGUUCACUGGACUGCAACUGACACUGAGGCUCGAAAGUGUGGGUAUCAAACAGGAUUAGAUACCCCUGUAGUC
rnacentral:rRNA from 1 species